rnacentral:rRNA from 1 species
UGGGGAAUAUUGGACAAUGGGCGAAAGCCUGAUCCAGCAACGCCGCGUGAGGGAUGACGGCCUUCGGGUUGUAAACCUCUUUCAGUAGGGACGAAGCGCAAGUGACGGUACCUACAGAAGAAGCACCGGCCAACUACGUGCCAGCAGCCGCGGUAAUACGUAGGGUGCGAGCGUUGUCCGGAAUUAUUGGGCGUAAAGGGCUCGUAGGCGGUCUGUCGCGUCGAAAGUGAAACCCAGGGCUUAACCCUGGGCCUGCUUCCGAUACGGGCAGACUAGAGGUAUGCAGGGGAGAACGGAAUUCCUGGUGUAGCGGUGAAAUGCGCAGAUAUCAGGAGGAACACCGGUGGCGAAGGCGGUUCUCUGGGCAUUACCUGACGCUGAGGAGCGAAAGUGUGGGGAGCGAACAGGAUUAGAUACCCUGGUAGUCCACACCGUAAACGUUGGGCGCUAGGUGUGGGACUCAUUCCACGAGUUCCGUGCCGCAGCUAACGCAUUAAGCGCCCCGCCUGGGGAGUACGGCCGCAAGGC